UCUCCACUAAAACUGCAUUCCCAUUCCUACUUAUUUUUCAUGUAGUUAUACUUGUUUAACUCACCAGAGGAAAUCAGAUCCCUUCAGUGAGACUGCUUGCUGCCUCAUCAAAACCACAACUUGUUUCUUUUUCACAGCAGAGGGUGAAGAGCUGAAAGUUAAAAGGUAAACGUGAAUCUUGAGGAGACAAGUUUACACGGACUGAGUCCUACUACCCAGGUAGACAUUCAGUCUCACAACAGAAGAAUCCUGGCAAAGGAAGGAAGGAAUCCUACUGAGAGAUACUCUACAACCUUGUAAAAAUAGACAUCUAUGCUGUCUAUUAAAGAGCUCUCCAUCCAUAUCUCCAAGACUGGGACAUCUGAAGAGCAUCGCUGUUUGGGCUCAGCAACUCCAACCUCCUUCCAAUGGGGCAAACAACCCUGCUCAAAAAUGAAAAAUGCUAGACCAGCACUUGAAGCACCGCUCCAUGAGUCACUGGAAGGACAAAUCAAAGCCAGUGGUAAGCUAGAUUGCUACAGAACUGUCAUACUACUUCACCUCAGUGAAAUGUCUACAACUAAAGUAGACUUUCACCAAGUACAGAAUCAGUGACCAGAAACUAGAGGUUGAAACUGGAGCACAGUUUAAACCUGAGAGGAAUGUAACAGGAGAGAAUGCAACAGAGAGAUGCUUUCUACACCAAUGUCACAAAUGCAAUGAAGUGCAAGGGAGACAUUUCUUCAAACUAUCAGAAUUCAUAAAAGAUUGAGGAAAAGCAAUGAGGAAAAAUUGUGCAUGUGCCUGGUAGGAAGGAGACAUGUGGCUGAAAUGGCAUCACUUUACGUAGCAACCUGCCAGCAGACAAGGAAUGGACAAUAAAACUAAGUGGA